rnacentral:rRNA from 1 species
AUAUCCCUACGGGAGGCAGCAGUGAGGAAUAUUGGUCAAUGGGAGAGAUCCUGAACCAGCCAAGCCGCGUGAGGGAAGACGGCCCUAUGGGUUGUAAACCUCUUUUGUCGGAAAACAAAACCCGGGACGAGUCCCGGACUGCGUGUAUCCGAAGAAAAAGCAUCGGCUAACUCCGUGCCAGCAGCCGCGGUAAUACGGAUGAUGCGAGCGUUAUCCGGAUUUAUUGGGUUUAAAGGGUGCGUAGGCGGGCCGUUAAGUCAGCGGUAAAAUUGCGGGGCUCAACCCCGUCGAGCCGUUG